UGUAAGGUAAGUUAAUAAAACUAUUGGGUUCAUGUUCCAAAAUUAGAGAUGGAAUUUCUUUUUUUACAU
rnacentral:tRNA from 1 species